rnacentral:precursor_RNA from 10 species
UUUUGAUCUCAUAUUUUGGUCUGUUACGUCACAAUGAAAUUAACCUUCUCUGUGACGUCAGGAUAGGUUGAAUUCAUCGUGGUGUAGCUGACUUCUAUCUACGAGACGAAAU